AGGUUGAUGCUGGCUCAAGAUGAACGCUGGUGGCGUGCCUAACGCUUGCCUGUCAAGCGAAGCAUUUUGAACGAAGUGUUCGGAUGGAAUUUAAAAUGACUGAACGGGGGACGGGUGUAUUAACGCUUGGGUAACCUGCCUCUUACCGGGGGAUAACGGUUACAAAUGACUGCUAAUACCGCAUAACCACACAGUACCGCAUGGAACAUUGUGAAAAACUCCCGUGGUCUGAGAUGGACCCGCGUCUGAUUAGCUAGUUGGCGGGGUAACGGCCCACCAAGGCCACAAUGCAUUAGCCGACCUGAGAGGGUGACCGGCCACAUUGGGACUGAGACACGGCCCAAACUCCUACCGGGAGGCAGCAGUGGGGAAUAUUGCACAAUGGGGGAAACCCUGAUGCAUCAACGCCGCGUGAGUGAAGAAGUAUUUCGGUGUGUAAAGCUCUAUCACCAGGGAAGAAAGUGACGGCACCUGACUAACAAGCCCCGGCUAACUACGUGCCAUCAGCCGCGGUAAUACGUACGGGGCAAGCGUUAUCCGGAUUUACUGGGCGUAAAGGGAGCGUAGACGGCACAGCAAGUCUGAAGUGAAAUCCCUGGGCUCAACCCGGGAACUGCUUUGGAAACUGUUGCUCUAGAGUGUUGGAGAGGCAAGCGGAAUUCCUAGUGUAGCGGUGAAAUGCGUAGAUAUUAGGAGGAACACCAGUGGCGAAGGCGGCUUGCUGGACAGUAACUGACGUUGAGGCUCGAAAGCGUGGGGAGCAAACAGGAUUAGAUACCCUGGUAGUCCACGCCGUAAACGAUGCAUACUAGGUGUUGGGGAGCAAAGCUUUCCGGCGACGCCGCAAACGCAGUAAAUAUCCGCACAUGGGGAGCCGCUUCGCAAGAAUGAAACUCAAAGGACAUGUACGGGAGACCCGCACAAGUGGUGCGAGCACGUGUGUUUAUAUUUGAAUGCCACGACGAAGAACGUUACCAAUUCGGACACUCUCCUCGAUGAGGGAGUAACGUUGCUUCUCGUUUUGGACAGGGGAGACAGAUGGCGCAUGGUUGUCGUCAGCUGGAGUCGGGAGAUGUGUGUCAAUGUCAAGCGCGAGACUGCACCCCUCAUUCUCAGUACCCGAAUCAGGUUAAGGUGGACACUUUGCUGUCGCCUAGCCAGGGAUUAGGAGGAGGGACGGAGUGUGUGAGGUGCAAAUCCUCAUGCACCUCUGAGUCAUGGGGUUCACACGUGUUACAAGGGAGUAAACAUAGGGAAGAGACCUUAUUAAGGUAAGCAAAUCCCAAAAAUAACGUCCCAGUUAGGAGUGUAGUAUGCAACUUGAAAACACGAAGUCGGAAUAGCUAGUAAUCGCAGAUCAGCAUGAGGCAGGUGAACAAGUUCCCGGCUUUAGUACACACCGCCCUUCA
rnacentral:rRNA from 1 species